rnacentral:piRNA from 1 species
UCCUCCAGCAGGAGCAGUGGAUGAAUGUC